rnacentral:rRNA from 1 species
CUAACAUGCAAGUCGAGCGGUGUAUAGGGGCUUGCCCUUAUACAUAGCGGCGGACGGGUGAGUAACGCGUGAGCAAUCUGCCUUUGUCACCGGGAUAACACUUAGAAAUAGGUGCUAAUACCGGAUAAGACCACGGUCCGGCAUCGGAUUGGGGUAAAAGGAGUAAUCCGGAUAAAGAUGAGCUCGCGUCCCAUUAGCUAGAUGGCGGGGUAAUGGCCCACCAUGGCUUCGAUGGGUAGCCGACCUGAGAGGGUGAUCGGCCACAUUGGAACUGAGAAACGGUCCAAACUCCUACGGGAGGCAGCAGUGGGGAAUAUUGGGCAAUGGAGGAAACUCUGACCCAGCAACGCCGCGUGAAGGAAGAAGGUUUUCGGAUUGUAAACUUCUGUCGCAGGGGAAGAAGAAUGACGGUACCCUGUAAGAAAGCCCCGGCUAACUACGUGCCAGCAGCCGCGGUAAUACGUAGGGGGCAAGCGUUGUCCGGAAUGACUGGGCGUAAAGGGAGUGUAGGCGGCCAAACAAGUUAUAUGUGAAAGCCUGCGGCUUAACCGCAGAAUUGCAUAUAAAACUGUAUGGCUAGAGUGCAGGAGAGGUAAGUGGAAUUCCUAGUGUAGCGGUGGAAUGCGUAGAUAUUAGGAGGAACACCAGUGGCGAAAGCGGCUUACUGGACUGUAACUGACGCUGAGGCUCGAAAGCGUGGGGAGCAAACAGGAUUAGAUACCCUGGUAGUCCACGCCCCUAAACCAUGGAUACUAGACGAGGGGGCUUUAUAGGCUUCCNUGUCUAAGCCUAACNGCGAUAAGUAUCCCCGCCUGGGGAGUACNGCCNCAAGGUUGAAACCUCAAANGAAAUUGACGGGGACCCCCCCCAAGCAGCCGGANCCAUGGUGGUUUAAUUUCGAAAGCCACCCCGAAGAAACCUUUACCCAGACUUNGACAUUCCNGAAUGCNUAGUUGCNUUAACNNCCACGAAAUUCCNUCCGGANCUUCCNAACAGGUGGUUGCAUGGUUG